rnacentral:rRNA from 1 species
CCUACGGGAGGCAGCAGUGAGGAAUAUUGGUCAAUGGCCGUGGGGCUGAACCAGCCAAGUAGCGUGAGGGAAGACUGCCCUAUGGGUUGUAAACUUCUUUUAUGCGGGGAUAAAGUGGUCCACGUGUGGAUUUUUGUAUGUACCGUAUGAAUAAGGAUCGGCUAAUUCCGUGCCAGCAGCCGCGGUAAUACGGAGGGUCCGGGCGUUAUCCGGAUUUAUUGGGUUUAAAGGGAGCGUAGGCGGGUUGUUAAGUCAGUUGUGAAAGUUUGCGGCUCAACCGUAAAAGUGCAGUUGAAACUGGAAGCCUUGAGUACAGUAGAGGGAGGCGGAAUUCGUGGUGUAGCGGUGAAAUGCUUAGAUAUCACGAAGAACUCCGAUUGCGAAGGCAGCCUACUGGACUGCAACUGACACUGAGGCUCGAAAGUGUGGGUAUCAAACAGGAUUAGAUACCCGUGUAGUC